CUUCGUUAGACCACAAGGUAUGUCCUUUUGGAAAAGUCAACUUAACUUCAUUGAUCUGCAAGGACUGUUGAAAAUUUAAAAAUUUGCUAUGGGAUCCUGACAUGCCAGAAGCCACUAGAAAAAGAAUUUUGAUAUUCAGAACCUCAUCAAGAGGUUCCCCUCAUCUUUGGAUAGAGACCAAAAUGAUACUUUCAAUCAGCUGGUCCUCUCCUCAGGUGUAGAGCACCUAUUAUCAUUUCACCUGUUUUGAUUCUCUGAUGAGGAAAAUCCCAGGACUUAUCAGCCGGGAUAGGCCUCAUUUCCAAGACAGCUCUGUUCAGUGUUUGGAAGAAAGCCUGACAGGUUUCUCCGGAAAAGUGGCCAUCCAUGGAAUGAAUGAAAUGUUCCCUUUCUGUUCCAG